AUGCAGUUUAAAUCACUUGCUCAUGAAUGUCAUCGAGUAUUGAUCCGUUACGACUCGUUAAAAGCAAUUCAUUUAAUGAAUGGCCCUAAUGUGCAACCAGUCCCACAAAAAAUUGCAGUCCGUUUUCCUUCUCUGGCUCUAGCAUAUUUUGGUGGAAGAAUCAAAUUGAACUGA